CAGAUAAACCAAACGUUGGUGCGGCUGUUGGCGCGGCUGUUGGUGUUGCAAUAGGUGCUAUUAUAUUAGUCGUAGCGGUUGUCGUUGUUGUCAUCAUUUUCAAACGAAGAUUAUUACAAAGGGAGACACAAGACCAUAACGACGAGCAAGAUACUACAUAUUCUGAAGGAAAAGCAACUCAACCUGGGCAAUACGAAACAUUAAGUAACAGUAGCAUGGUGGACAAUCACAGGAGUGAUACCUACACCAGUCUGGUAGGGACAAGACAAGCUGAAAUGACAGAGGGUAUCAGCCCGGUUAUUAUCACAAUGAAUAUUGUAGGAGGUAGUAUAGCCCAACCUGGACCAUAUGAAACACUGAAUGCAACUCAUUUAAAGGAACGUUAUAGGAAUGAUACCUACACAAUGCUGUUAGUGUCAGGGGAAGCUGGAGUAACAGAGCGUUGCAAUUCUGAAAGUAUUCAAAUAAAUCAUCCAACAAAAAAUCCGGAGUGUCAUAACAUACGCAAACAUGAUGAUCAAAAAAUGACAACAGCGGUCGAGCAAUGAAGACACAGGACAAGAAAUGAUAAAGCAUAUCAAGAAAUGACGACACAGUUAAAAAAAGACGACGUACGUCUGAGCACACGAUACUUUGUUUUGCUGUUAAUGUAGAAGUAUUAGUCUACACCACCCAAAAAGAACAAACGUUAACUAUUAUAUUGUUAUAGUAAAAACAUUCAAGACCAGAAAGUCUAAUGUUAACACGGAUAUCAAUUCUGUGUUCCUGCUAUUAGUAAAUUGUUCAAAGAAACUAAAUACAAUAAAAAUAAUCAAAUGUCAUAGAUAACAAAGAGAUACGUUUGCGAGUAUAGAAUUCACGGACAAAUUCACUUUCUUUAAA